GACGAACGCUGGCGGCGUGCUUAACACAUGCAAGUCGAACGGAAAGGCCCUGCUUUUGUGGGGUGCUCGAGUGGCGAACGGGUGAGUAACACGUGAGUAACCUGCCCUUGACUUUGGGAUAACUUCAGGAAACUGGGGCUAAUACCGGAUAGGAGCUCCUGCUGCAUGGUGGGGGUUGGAAAGUUUCGGCGGUUGGGGAUGGACUCGCGGCUUAUCAGCUUGUUGGUGGGGUAGUGGCUUACCAAGGCUUUGACGGGUAGCCGGCCUGUGAGGGUGACCGGCGACAUUGGGACUGAGAUACGGACCAGACUCCUACGGGAGGCAGAGGGGGGGAAUAUUGCACAAUGGGAGGAAGCCUGAUGCAGCAACGCGGCGUGCGGGAUGACGGCCUUCGGGUUGUAAACCGCUUUCGCCUGUGACGAAGCGUGAGUGACGGUAAUGGGUAAAGAAGCACCGGCUAACUACGUG
rnacentral:rRNA from 1 species